GGCCUUCCCGGUGCUGCAAUAGGGAACCCGCGGGUGCGGGGUGCCAACAGCCAGCCAGAGCCAGGAGGUGGGCACAGGGUAAGGAUGCAGAGCCGGCAGAUGGAGUAAGGGACCACGCAACUGUAGUUUUCCCCUGGUGUCAGACGCGUCUGUCCCAGAAGCUGGAAGACUUGCCUAGAAUGGUGCCGGAUGGUUCCACCUGGUCAGAAGAAAAGCAAAGCCCUGGGCCAGUUUCUGUUGCUACAAGCUAGAGAAGGACCCUAGCUGUGAUGAAGAGCUCAGGCCCACACUGGUCCAACGAGGCUUCCUCCAUUAUCCUUUGAAGAUAGUGUUCCAGCAGUGGUAUUGCCUGUGAAGGGUAAAUUCUGUAGUUAAUUAAAGGACAACGUAACAGCCAUCUUCACUUAAAGUUAUGUCCUUUUGUU
ensembl:lncRNA